UUUCCCCCUCUCCCUCAUUCCUUGUCAUCCUACCUGAAAUCAGGCAAUUUAAAUGCAGAGGCUCAAAACUUUAUUUAGAAUGUUAUUGGGGGUGUCACAGUGAAUCAUAGAGUGGGAAGAGACCACAAGAACCAUCCAGUCCAACCCGCUGUCAUGAAAGAAAACACAAUCAAACCACCCACAACAGGUGGGUAAGAAACUUUUGAAUAAUUUAAAGUGCUGCCAGAGA
rnacentral:lncRNA from 11 species